CGGGCUCAGCCUCUCUGCGCUUUGGGGGCCUCACCGCGCACGUCAGCACGGGAGGGGCCGGCACGCGAGGGGUGUGUGUGGCCCCCUCCGUGUGCUCCUUCGGGGCAGGGGCCGGGCUCACCCCACGCGGGACGGGGCCCCUGGAGAAGCCAGCCCGGCCUCCUUCCUGUUGCCCCAGGGCUCACUUCCUCUCCUGCUCAGCCGGCAGCUUUGCCCUCCUCUUCGGCCCCCGUUUCCCCAGCGUUUCGGGCCCCAAAAAAAGACAUGGGGGCCGCAGAAUGGGGGGCAGCUCCAGCCCUCCCCCCUCCCCCCCCCCACCCCACCGGGGAAACCUGGCUACAGCAGCGGGACCCAGAGCUGUGGCAAGAUGGGGACACUGGCAGGGCCACCCCAUCGCCCUAGCAGCCGGCCCGCGGGGAACCUCUGAGGCCCCAUCCCGAACAGAAGGAUGGGGGAGACCACAGCUGUGGGACCGGUCCUGCCCCCCGAAUUCCCAAGCCUCCUUCUGGACAGGAUUCGGCUCGAGGGACGUGGCCAGAGAAGAGGAAAGAGCCCUGCCUGGGGGUUAGGAGGAGGCCCGGGUUCCAGGCUUGCUCUUCCUCACCCUACGUGGCUUUGGGCGAAUCCCCUCCCUUCCUGGUCCUUAAAGGUCUUUACAAGACAGGGCCGGACUCAGAACUCACCGAAGGCAGUGGAGGGGACACAGGGGGUGUCUGCCUCAGCUCUGUUCAGGGUAUCUCCCCUCCCCCGGCAGCCCCUCCCCGCCCUGGGCCUCGGUUUCUUCAUCUGAAACGGGGUGGCCUUUCUUCCCCCCCCCCCCCCCCCACGCCGGAUGACGCUCAGGGGAGAUGGUGCGGAGAAAGGGAGACUGUCCACCUGGCUACCGGGGAGGUGGGAUCGUGCCCUUCUGCCUGUCCGGCCCCGGGAGGGAGGAAAUGCGCCUCUCUACGCGUGGGUGGCCGGUGGGGGGGGGGGGUGCACAGGGGCUCAGGGCUUUGCUUGGCCCGAGUCCCUCUCUCAGCUAAGGGUGUGUUCUCUGGGGUCGGCCGCCACAAGCCCCCACCCCCGGAGCCCUCCCUCUGUGCCCUGUCGCUCCUGAACAUUACAGACUGGCAGAGAGCCCCGAGCCCAGGGCUCCCGGGAGCUGAGACUCACCUGGCUGCCAUGAAAUGAAGGGCGCGGAGCUCAAAUGGUGAUCACCGGCUUCCAGAGAAAAGGCCUGCUGGGCUGCGUCUGCAGGGAGCUUCCUCCUCGCUGGGCCUCAGGGCCUGGUGCCUCCACGGCCCCGACGGAAAGCUCUGCCCCCCGAGCGCCAACCACCCAGCCACACCUCCGGGCCCUCAGAUGCCUCGCAGGAGACGCAGCGUGGCCGCUUCUUCCUUCUCUCCCUCUCCCCUCCCCGCCUCGCAACCCCAGCAGUCCCUCGCGGUCGCCCCAUCUCCAAGUGGCAGCACCAGCCAAGCCAGCCACUGAGGCCACGGACCCCCACCUCCCCGCCACGGGGAGCUGGCGAACUCAUGAGCCGUGAGAUCACGACCUGAGCUGAAGUCCGACGCUCAGUGGACUGAGCCACCCAGGCGCCCCUUAAGGGCUUUAAGUUUACUGGAACCGGCCUCCGAGGCAGGUACUAUUGUACCUGCUGUCGCUGCUCACAGAGGUACCAGCCUAAGAAGCAGAGGCAGUUUGCAGCAUGGUGGGGACGGACAGCUGCACGCUUUGCUGGGGCAGGUGUGACGGGCACGGCGUGGCCCUGCGUCCCCUGCUUCCCGGGCCAGGUGCACCGCCACGUCCCGGCAGGGAUGGCCCAUCCACGCAGGGAAACUGAAGCGUGUUGGACAAAGCGCCUACCGGGGCCGGGUUAAGGGAACACAGAAGAGACGGUGCCACAGCCCAAGACUAGUGACAUGAGUGAGUUAUCACGACCCCAGGGCCCGACGGGGCAGAGGCCAGAGUGGACACCAGAGCCCAGAGAGAGAGAUCCGCCAGCCAGGGGUGUGGUAGAGGGGCCCUCCGACCCCGGUGGCCCCGCAGAGGGGCGGCCCUGGAGUACAAACCCCCCCGACCUCGCUCCCUCUCCCCCACGCUCCCUCCUGCCGGGGCCUCCCACCGGCCAAGUCCAAACAGAAGCCAGAGGCAAGGCAGCGCACGCACGGACUGCGUCCGGGAGGCCAGCGCGGAAAACGCUGGAGAGGCAUCUGGAGAGGCGGACGGAAAGUAUCCGGCUCGAAAUUGAAACCGCGGGGCAGCAGCCACUCAGCAGCCUCCUGGUCACGGCAGGGACGGCCGGCACCACGGUGCGGUUCGAAGCGUCCUCCGUGGGGGUCUGUCCCCAGCCUGCCGCGCCAGCCUUCCUGUGGCUCUGGGGCCACCUCAUUUCCUGCGUUCGAUUCCUUUCUGCCUCAAGCAACUACAGCGGCCCCAGUUACAGGCAACCGAACCUGGAUUAAGGAAGGUGGCUCUUUAGGGAGGGAAACUGGAGGGACGUUCCCACCGUGGAAAGCGAGGGAGAACUAACCAGCCAGCAGUCACAUGGGAACAAAGCGGGUUUGGACCAGGCAAUUGUCCGAAGCCUGGGUUCUUUGGGGCGGCAAUCGGGGAUUCUUUUCGAGGCGCCCGAAUCACCCCGUGACUUCUGCAGGGAAGGCUCACAGCAGGGCCAGCGUGGAGCACGAGCCCUUGGCCACCGCCGAGGGUCACCCGGGUCCCUCGCCCUGCAGCGUUAAGGACGCCACCCCCUGAGACAGCGCCGCUGUCCAGCAGGCCUGGUCCGAUCGGAAGCUCCUGGAGCUUGUGCGUCCCAGCCCCCAGCACCGGGCUGGCGCGAACCGAUGACCCCCAAGCGCAGGAGAGAAAAACCAGACACAAGCAGCGGACGGCCCCACGCUCUCGAGUUCUUUAUUGGAAUAAAUAACAGCACACUGUUGCACUUCCCGGCACCCUCCUGACCGAGUGUCCGGCUUAGGACAGAUCAGGUUUGCAUAGAGGGUGCUGGCCAGCGGCACUCAGGAAAAGCCUCAGCUUCCCGCGGCCAGCCAGGCGGGCAGCAUAACAGCACAGCCAGGGUUUUAGCGGCUUUUCUGUAAUAUCCAGAAACCCAAAACAGACAUGGCUUAACACAAUUAAAAAGACUGUGAAACACGGGCACACGAAGGGGCUGAAAAAAGCAUCUGGUUCCUUUAAAACACAGCUCUCUGUCACAUGCAGUUAGGACACUGGGGCACACGGGGCUUGGCCGACAGGAUACCCCGCGGUUGUCACAGGGGAAACGAAGCUGCAGGCGGCUUCCCCGUGGCCGGCGGAGGACGCGAACAAAAGCCACUCGGAGAAGGAUCAAAGGUGACCAACUCACCACCCCCGCCCGACCCCGCACUCGGGCCCCGGAGACCCUGAGCCAUCGCCCCUCGGGCGCAAACGAGCUGGCUUUUCCUUAGUUCCUGUGGAGGGGCCUCCUUCAUGGAAACACAAUUCACUGAAAAUGUGGGUCACUUGAGGAAGGGUUCUAGAACUUUCCGGGAUUAAGGAAAGUUGCUUCUGCUGCCCAAGCCACCCCAAGAAGAUGCCCCAGUGUGGCCAAUGGGGCUGAUCAGAGGAGAGGGGACCGUCCCCAGAGGAGGCCCUGCCCUCCGCCUCACAUCUGCACCCCUCCCCCCCCCACCAUCGUGCGAAUGUCCAGGCCAUGCUUUCAACUCCGAUUCUCACUGGACGGGGAAGGGAGGGAAAUGAGGUGCACACAGCUCCAGGGCCCCUUACAGGUGUGUGGAAGGCACAUCCACACCCCUGAUCCAACUCGAAUAAAACCAGUUUGGAGAGAUGACAUCUUUUGCCGGACCCACGACCUUCAGCAGUCAGCACUGUGAGGCCAAGGUGCCUGUUCAUAGUUGACCCGGAUCUUAGUAUCCCUCUUACCCUCUGACCAGAAACACACGGGGCUUGAAGAGGGCUCGUCGCCUAGGAACGCGGAGCCCCCCUGCCUUCCAGGGCAAUUUCCUUCUCUUUGUGGUGCCGAGCCUGUCUGGGCUGAAAACCCUGAGGCCGUGUGCUUUCCAAAUCCCGUGUCCCCACUCCUACCCCUUUCGGCCCCCUGGGCCCCCAGGGAUCACCCUCACCAAGCCUGCCUGUGAACGGGGCCGGACGACUGGUCUCCACGGCUUUCAGGAUGCUGGCAUUCUAGGCGUGUAAUGAAGUCAGCACGGAACCUUCCAGCCUUGGCUAUUUUGUCAACGUGGAUCUUUAAUGUCACUGCAUCCGUAGGAACCACGGUAAUACUGUUUUAAUUAUUUCUUUCCCCCGUUGGGAAACCACCUCCAUCAAAACGGCGAUUCUGAAACUAGCCCCAGCCUGGAAGCAGCGGGGCUGAGCCAGAAUAUUAAGCCGUUUUGUGAGCCGUGAGCACUGGCAUUCGAUUUAGUAGGACACAACAGCUCGACGGUGCCUGCGGACAGCAGGAGGGCCCUAUUUCUCUCCUGAGCCAAGGUGGACAGGGGAGGAGGGCGGGUGGCACCAAGUGACCAGCGGGAGAGGCCAGCAGGGUUCUAGAAAGCCACACUCGGGAGGAGGGGGAGGAGCACUUCAUAUCCCCCCAUUAAGGGCUGAACAGUGUCCCCUGGAAUCUGUACGUUGAAGCUCUCACCCCGAGUACCUCAAAAUGUCACUGUAUUUGGAGACAGGGUCUAUACAGAGGUCCGUAUGUUAACAUGAGGUCACAUGGGGGGGCCCUCAUCCAUUAUGACUGGUGUCCUUAUAAGAGAUCAGGACGCAGACACUCAUAGGGACGACGACACGAGGACCCAGGGGGAGGACGGCCAUCUAUAAGCCAACACCGUGAUGUCGGGACUUCUGGCCUCCAGAGCUGGGAGACCACCCAUUUCUGCUGCCUAAGCCCCCUGCCUGUGGCACCUUGUCCUAGAAGCCCCUGGCAAGCUGAUAGACUCCCCUUUCUAGAAGUUUGAAAAAUGCAUCUAUUCCCAAACAGGGCCUCUGAGAUGGAUCGAGCAACAUUUUAGGUGUACCUCCUAACACAACCCAUUUGGCUGUCCCAAAAAAAAAAAAAAAAAAAAAAAAAGAACAAGAAGAAAAGAAA